CCAUGUAGGUACCGUAACAGUCGAGCGGAUGACGGGAGCUUGCUCCUUGAUUAGCGGCGGACGGGUGAGUAAUGCCUAGGAAUCUGCCUGGUAGUGGGGGACAACGUUUCGAAAGGAACGCUAAUACCGCAUACGUCCUACGGGAGAAAGUGGGGGAUCUUCGGACCUCACGCUAUCAGAUGAGCCUAGGUCGGAUUAGCUAGUUGGUGAGGUAAUGGCUCACCAAGGCGACGAUCCGUAACUGGUCUGAGAGGAUGAUCAGUCACACUGGAACUGAGACACGGUCCAGACUCCUACGGGAGGCAGCAGUGGGGAAUAUUGGACAAUGGGCGAAAGCCUGAUCCAGCCAUGCCGCGUGUGUGAAGAAGGUCUUCGGAUUGUAAAGCACUUUAAGUUGGGAGGAAGGGCAGUAAGUUAAUACCUUGCUGUUUUGACGUUACCGACAGAAUAAGCACCGGCUAACUCUGUGCCAGCAGCCGCGGUAAUACAGAGGGUGCAAGCGUUAAUCGGAAUUACUGGGCGUAAAGCGCGCGUAGGUGGUUCGUUAAGUUGGAUGUGAAAGCCCCGGGCUCAACCUGGGAACUGCAUCCAAAACUGGCGAGCUAGAGUACGGUAGAGGGUGGUGGAAUUUCCUGUGUAGCGGUGAAAUGCGUAGAUAUAGGAAGGAACACCAGUGGCGAAGGCGACCACCUGGACUGAUACUGACACUGAGGUGCGAAAGCGUGGGGAGCAAACAAGAUUAGAUACC
rnacentral:rRNA from 1 species